AUCGCUUCUCGGCCGUUUGGCUAAGAUCAAGUGUAGUAUAUGUACUUAUCGCGUUAAUGUCUGAUACGUCCCCUCUCCGGGUACCAUACAUUGAAAUGAUUUUUGGAAUAGGGAGACGGAACAGGGGCCUGCCCCGUCCACUCCACGCAUCGUCCUGGUAUUGCAGUACUUCUAGGAAUGGUGCACCCCCC